CAUGUUUAACCCCGCCGCAUUUUUGCGCCUGUCCCAAGUCAGGAGCCUCUGGCCUUUGUUAGUCUUGUAUUAUUUUAAUUUUAGUUUCUUGUGUACAAUUUGGAAAUUAGUAUGGCGUUCAUUAUCACUGAACUAGUAUAUAUUUGUUUAGGGGCCAGCUGAAGGACGCCUCCGGGUGCGGGAAUUUCUCGCUACAUUGAAGACCUGUUGGUGACCUUUUGCUGUUGUUUUUUAUUUGGUCGGGUUGUUGUCUCUUUGACACAUUCCCCAUUUCCAUUCUCAAUUUUAUUAUAG
rnacentral:lncRNA from 1 species